GACUUCUACGGUGGCCUAGUGGUUAAAGCAUCCGCCUCAGAUGCUGAAGGUCGCGGGUUCGAACCCCGCCAGAGUCA